GAUGAACGCUGGCGGCGUGCUUAACACAUGCAAGUCGAACGAAGCACUUAACUUGAUUUCUUCGGAUUGAUUGUUCUGUGACUGAGUGGCGGACGGGUGAGUAACGCGUGGGUAACCUGCCUCAUACAGGGGGAUAACAGUUGGAAACGACUGCUAAUACCGCAUAAGCGCACGGUAUCGCAUGAUACAGUGUGAAAAACUCCGGUGGUAUGAGAUGGACCCGCGUCUGAUUAGCUAGUUGGUGGGGUAACGGCCUACCAAGGCGACGAUCAGUAGCCGACCUGAGAGGGUGACCGGCCACAUUGGGACUGAGACACGGCCCAA
rnacentral:rRNA from 1 species